AAUAAUUGGCAUGAUUUCAAUGAGGUAUUUAUAAAUAAAAAUGUUGGAGUAACCCUUUUUUUACUACCCAUUUUCUUUAGAGUAGUUUCCACUCUAGUUAAAAUAUUUUGAAAAGUAAUCCAUGUAUAAAGUCCCUAAUACUUUUUCUUGUAGAAAAAGACAUUGGAUUCCAGCAUCAUAUUUCCCAUGACCUCUCACUCUAAUAGUAGAUGUGUAUGUGCUGUUUGGGCCAGAUGGUAG